rnacentral:rRNA from 1 species
CAGUAGCCGCGGGAAUACGGAGGGUGCAAGCGUUACUCGGAAUCACUGGGCGUAAAGGACGCGUAGGCGGAUUAUCAAGUCUCUUGUGAAAUCCUAUGGCUUAACCAUAGAACUGCUUGGGAAACUGGUAAUCUAGAGUGAGGGAGAGGCAGAUGGAAUUGGUGGUGUAGGGGUAAAAUCCGUAGAGAUCACCAGGAAUACCCAUUGCGAAGGCGAUCUGCUGGAACUCAACUGACGCUAAUGCGUGAAAGCGUGGGGAGCAAACAGGAUUAGAUACCCGAGUAGUCCCUGUCUCUUAUAC